UACGUAGGGGGCGAGCGUUGUCCGGAAUCAUUGGGCGUAAAGCGCGUGUAGGCGGUUCGGUAAGUCUGCUGUGAAAGUCCAGGGCUCAACCCUGGGAUGCCGGUGGAUACUGCCGAACUAGAGUGCGGAAGAGGCGAGUGGAAUUCCCGGUGUAGCGGUGAAAUGCGCAGAUAUCGGGAGGAACACCAAUUGCGAAGGCAGCUCGCUGGGACGUUACUGACGCCGAGACGCGAAAGCGUGGGGAGCAAACAGG
rnacentral:rRNA from 1 species